rnacentral:lncRNA from 1 species
CGCGAGCUCUCCCAAGCCCAUACCCCGCGUGACGUUGGGAUAUUUUUCAUGGAUUUUGCACAAAAGGAGUCGCCACUAGCCUAUUGAGGUCGGCUAGAAACCAAGUGAGGCAUGGGAGCGUACCUCACUUCCUACACAACCAGAGAAUCUAGGUUCGGGGACUUGAUUACACUAAUUAACCAAUUAGUGCCAUUUCGGUACCUAAUCUUGUUCAUUUUAACAAAAUGAUUUUUGGCAGGCAGUUUGAAUUGAUUUUAUACCUAUCCACUAACAUGCGAGGUGAUCAUGCAGGUGUGCAAUCAUUAAAGUAAUAAU